UAACCUCAGCUCAGUCAGGAAUACCCGUUGAAUUUAAGCAUGCAACUAAGCGGAGGAAAAGAAACUAACGAGGAUCCCCCUAGUAACGGCGCGUGAACGGGGAAAAGCCCAGCGCUGAAUCCUUUUAGCCGUUGGCUCUAAGGAACUGUGUAGCGUAUAGGUGUAACUAUCCAGAUGAUUCGUUCACCCAAGCUCCCCUUGAGCGGGGCUACAGUCCAAAGAAGGUGCUAGGCCUGUACGGGUGGUGAAACGUUUGGUUUGGUUGCACCGAUACCUUUCUAGCAGAGCUCCGCACGUCCGCCACACCAUACUUGUUAUUCCGGACCACUAACGGAUCUGGCGGAGGGGGGGGGGGGCAAGAAGAUGAAUUUUUCGCCCCCCCUCCCCUCACCCCCGUCACAGGUGGUAGUGCUAAAACUGAAGAAAACUCUCUUCAACACCUCUAUGCCCUCUCCCAGGAGCCCCAAUUUG
rnacentral:ncRNA from 1 species